GAAUAUCAUUUUCUAAUCUAAAUAAUAAAAAAGAUAUUCUUGACCUUGACAGUGAUCUAUGUUGUAUAUGUAAAUCCUAGAUGUAAAAAUCGGCAGAAUUUUCCCAAUAAAAAGAAAAAUUGGUAAAAAUGAUAUGCUAAGUAUAAAUCCUAUGCUGAGAAAAUAAAAAAAGAAGGACCAAUGAGAUAGAAAAACGGAAUCAUAAACAAAGUUCAGGUUCUAAUU
rnacentral:lncRNA from 1 species